rnacentral:rRNA from 1 species
UAGAUCUGAAAUCAACUGAGACCACCCGCUGAACUUAA